AUUGAACGCUGGCGGCAGGCUUAACACAUGCAAGUCGAGCGGGGGAAGGUAGCUUGCUACCGGACCUGGCGGCGGACGGGUGAGUAAUGCUUAGGAAUCUGCCUAUUAGUGGGGGACAACAUCUCGAAAGGGAUGCUAAUACCGCAUACGUCAUACGGGAGAAAGCAGGGGAUCUUCGGACCUUGCGCUAAUAGAUGAGCCUAAGUCGGAUUAGCUAGUUGGUGGGGUAAAGGCCUACCAAGGCGACGAUCUGUAGCGGGUCUGGGAGGAUGAUCCGCCACACUGGGACUGAGACACGGCCCAGACUCCUACGGGAGGCAGCAGUGGGGAAUAUUGGACAAUGGGGGGAACCCUGAUCCAGCCAUGCCGCGUGUGUGAAGAAGGCCUUAUGGUUGUAAAGCACUUUAAGCGAGGAGGAGGCUACUUUAGUUAAUACCUAGAGAUAGUGGACGUUACUCGCAGAAUAAGCACCGGCUAACUCUGUGCCAGCCGCCGCUGUAA
rnacentral:rRNA from 1 species